UCUUUUGACGAUGCGGCAAGACGAUUGGCUAAUUGGUUAUCAUUAAUGAACAGCAACCACCAAAUGUUCUUUAUUCCUUGGAAUAUCGGGAUGCAUUGGACGCUAGUGGUGGUUGCGCCAAAGAAAAUUAUCCAUUUAAACCCUCUAAAAGGCCGCCCAAUUCCCGAAGAAAUAGAACAAAUGAUCGGAAGGGCAUUCAUGUAUAUAGGGGACGCACAUCAGUAUCUUGGCCCGUGGCAAGGAAUUGCACAAGCAA